rnacentral:rRNA from 1 species
GAGAGUGGCGAACGGGUGAGUAAUAUAUCGGAACGUGCCCAGUCUGGGGGAUAACGUAGCGAAAGUUACGCUAAUACCGCAUACGAUCUACGGAUGAAAGCGGGGGGACCGUUAAAGGCCUCGCGCGAUUGGAGCGGCCGAUAUCAGAUUAGGUAGUUGGUGGGGUAAAGGCUCACCAAGCCAACGAUCUGUAGCUGGUCUGAGAGGACGACCAGCCACACUGGAACUGAGACACGGUCCAGACUCCUACGGGAGGCAGCAGUGGGGAAUUUUGGACAAUGGACGCAAGUCUGAUCCAGCCAUUCCGCGUGCAGGAUGAAGGCCCUCGGGUUGUAAACUGCUUUUGUACGGAACGAAAAGGUUUCCAUUAAUACUGGGAGCUCAUGACGGUACCGUAAGAAUAAGCACCGGCUAACUACGUG